AACAGCCCCACUUCUGUUUUCCCCGUUAAGAAACGAAAAUCCUAUACGCCCAACCCAAAUCUAUUCUUCAUCCACAACUGCUCGAUCACUCUGAAUGAUCUCCUCCCAAAAAAAAUUGUUCUACAAAUUCCUGGAUAUAUUCUGCGAAACUCAACAAAUGAUUUCCAAUGUUGUGGCAGGAUGCAUAGGAUAAAGUAUAUUUGAUUAACGACCGUGACAGAAUCACUGGGAAGGUAUUUUGAUAGUUAAAUAUAAAGGGUGGCCGAAACUAGAGAAACCAAUAGAAGUGGGAAAGUUUCUAUUAGCUCCACUUCAAUUAAACACAAAAUUAACUGCGCCGUAAACACGAAUUUAGCUGCACCGACACGACGUACAAAUCCUGUUUUGCUUAGGCAGGGGUAUAUGAAAUGCCUAAUAUUUCCCUCAACUUCGUUGUUUGUUUGACAUUCAUUGUGUUGAAAUCGUAUAUGUCAGAACUGAUCUGGAUAAUGUGACGGCGUCCUUCAUACACUCGACGAAGAUGAGGAGGUCUGAAAAACAUCACAUGAAGUUUGGUAAAAGUUUAGCUUAAUUUUCAGCUUAUUGAAACCGAGAAUGACCUGAUGGAAGAAAGGAACCUGACCGAAAAAAUGGAAUUUGAGCAAGCAUACUUAAUCGAAGAGUUGAAUAUUCCAAAGAAGGAGAAUUCACAGUAUGUAAAAUUACCGAGGAAUGAAGAAUUUGCUUCACAGCAUGAAAAUUUAUGUGAACCUUCAUAGAGGGACCAUCAAUUUAAGAAUCCGGCUCAAUUUGAUUGUAUCCUGGCUAUGGAAGACAAUGUUGCAGGGUUUUUUUUUCAACAAUGUAAGUUGGGACAGGGACUUGAGGAAGCCAGAACAUUGAUUAGGUGAUAUCAAGAUGGCUAGGAAUCAAA